CAUUCGAUUCAGACUGAAAACACAGUAACUCCUCUGGACCUUGCUGGGAAAUUCCCUGCCCAGGCCACGGGCAGCACUCCAGUGCAGCUGACCUCCCUCAAGGCCUCAAACACAUGAUUCCACUAAAGGCUUAACAGGGGAACCUCACAAGUAGGCAGAGAGCGCAUCUGAGAUACAAGGACACAGAAGUAAUGCAAAUGCAACUGAGAUUAAAGCCAGUGGAUAAAAGUAAAGGUCACUUUAAAGGAGGAUAAAGCUACAGUGUAUGUAACCUAGCAUAGGUGAUUUCAACACUACAGAACUGUGAAGCCUGAAAUUCUACAGUAGAGAAGGGUAUGAGGAAGACAUCACAGGAUACCAAAGAGUGUUACAGAGGACCCACAAAUAGUCGUGAGCAUGAGACGGUGAACAACAAAUCCAUUUUUGGUGUGUUGCAGCAAGAGCACUGGUCUGCUAUGACCUGCUGCAUUCUACCUGGAAGUACAAGUCAGAAGUCAGCCUGUCAUAUUUUUUUCAAAAGAUGAUUUGUCAAAAUGAGACUUCAUUCAUAAAAUCAGUCUGGCUGGGCACAGUGGCUCAUGCCUGUAAUCCUAGCAGCUUGGGAGGCUGAGGUAGGUGGAUAGCUUGAGCCCAGGAGUUUGAGACCAGCCUGGGCAACAUGGCAAAACCCCACCUCUACAAAAAAUACAAAAAUUACCCAGAUGUACUGUCACACACCUGUGGUCCCAGCUACUCGGCAGACUGAGAUAGGAGGAUCACCUGAGCCCAGGAGGUUAAGACUGCCCUGAGCCAGGAUUGGGCCACUGCACUCCAGUUUGGAGGACAGUGAAACUCUGUCUCAAAACAAACAAACAAACAAACAAAAGCUCUCAAUCUGUUCAAAUAGGCAGAUUGUCUUCCAUAAUCUUUCCACCGUGAUCUUGCCUUGUGAAGUUUCUACUACCCUGAUGCUACAUAAUUAAGGUAUAUCGUUGUCACUGUCUUUCUAAAUUUGUUGUUCGUUACUUCCUUGCCCCCCCAUUCAUCAUCCAGACAUACAUUUUAAUAAUAUCAAACUCCUUGUAGUUCCCCUAAAUAAAUCAUGUUGUUUCCCU